UCAGGAUAUACCUCAAUGUUAGAAUGCUUGCCUAGUAUGUGUGAGGCCCUGGGUUCAAUCCCCAGUACUGAA
rnacentral:tRNA from 1 species